rnacentral:misc_RNA from 1 species
AAGUCGUAACAAGGUUUCCGUAGGUGAACCUGCGGAAGGAUCAUUAUAAAAUUUUUUCUACAUAUUUUUAAAAUAUGUUAAAAAAAAUCUGUAUUCAAAACCCACACUCUUUUUUAAACCCAUAUAAAAAAAUUAUGUUCAUAUAAUUUUUUUAUAUAUAAAAAUAUAUAUAUAUAAUUAAAAGACAACUUUCAACAACGGAUCUCUUGGCUCUC